UUCUUAUUCCCCUAUUACAGAAGAGACAUAUUGGAUAUAAAUGGUUAUGGAAAAACUGACAUUAGCACCUAUCUUUCACAAUUUACAAACGAUAGUUUACAUUAUUUAUUAUGCAACGUUCAACGUUUUUAAGUCAUUCAUUUUAAAGUGCCAACAAUCAUCAAUAACUGGACUCUUCUAUCUUCAAGCAUAACAAUAUAAAUAGUAA